GACGAACGCUGGCGGCGUGCCUAAUACAUGCCAGUUGAGCGCUGAAGGUUGGUACUUGUACCAACUGGAUGAGCAGCGAACGGGUGAGUAACGCGUGGGGAAUCUGCCUUUGAGCGGGGGACAACAUUUGGAAACGAAUGCCAAUACCGCAUAAAAACUUUAAACAAAAGUUUUAAGUUUGAAAGAUGCAAUUGCAUCACUCAAAGAUGGUCCCGCGUUGUAUUAGCUAGUUGGUGAGGUAAAGGCUCACCAAGGCGAUGAUACAUAGCCGACCUGAGAGGGUGAUCGGCCCCAUUGGGACUGAGACACGGCCCAAACUCCUACGGGAGGCAGCAGUAGGGAAUCUUCGGCAAUGGACGAAAGUCUGACCGAGCAACGCCGCGUGAGUGAAGAAGGUUUUCGGAUCGUAAAACUCUGUUGGUAGAGAAGAACGUUGGUGAGAGUGGAAAGCUCAUCAAGUGACGGUAACUACACAGAAAGGGACGGCUAACUACGUG
rnacentral:rRNA from 1 species